CCUACGGGAGGCAGCAGUGAGGAAUAUUGGUCAAUGGGCGUAAGCCUGAACCAGCCAAGUCGCGUGAGGGAUGAAGGUUCUAUGGAGCGUAAACCUCUUUUAUAAGGGAAUAAAGUGUGGGAAGUGUCCUAUUUUGUAUGUACCUUAUGAAUAAGGAUCGGCUAACUCCGUGCCAGCAGACGCGGUAAUACGGAGGAUCCGAGCGUUAUCCGGAUUGAUUGGGUUGAAAUGGCGCGUAGGUGGAUUGUUAAGUCAGUUGUGAAAGUUUGCGGCUCAACCUUAAAAUGGCAGUUGAAACUGGCAGUUGUGAGUACAGUAGAGGUGGGCGGAAUUCGUGGGGGAGCGGUGAAAGGCUUAGGUAUCACGAAGAACUCCGAUUGCGAAGGCAGCUCACUGGACUGCAACUGACACUGAGGCUCGAAAGUGUGGGUAUCAAACAGGAUUAGAUACCCGUGUAGUC
rnacentral:rRNA from 1 species